GGGGAUGCCAGGCUUCGACAAAUGUUCAUUUCAAAAAAACAGCAGCCGAGCCGAUUGACUCGUCCGACCCAAAGUCGGACUCCGACUACGGUCGGAGCUAAACCGAUCAAAAAACACAUAACUGCCAACAGAAAUGUUGCUCCCGCGUUCGCUUUUGCGUAAAUGCGGCAUCCUUCGCUGAUUGCUCAUAUUAGCGGUAAGGGUGUUAUAACUUGAGCUCGUUCCGGUUUCCUGCUGAAAACCGGGAGACCAUUAGGCAAGAGGGCUAAGAGUUUUUCGUCCCGAUUACACCUUUUAGCCCUUUAAAACAUCGGGACUAAGCUUGUAGAAGUUUUUUAGAAAAACAUUUGGACGGGGCUUCAAUGCCCCCAUCUCCACCC
rnacentral:tmRNA from 1 species